rnacentral:miRNA from 1 species
GGGUUGCCUGAAAAGUUUGUUUGGGUUUUUCUGUUACAUCUUACGAAAAAAUACAAAUGAACUUUUUCAACCAAAGCAA